UAAAAUAAUUAAGGGCACACAAAGGAUGCCUAGGUAGUAAGAGCCGAUGAAGGACGUGGUAAGCUGCGAUAAGCCUAGAUAAGUUGCAAUCGAACGUAAGAGUCUAGGAUUUCCGAAUGGAGCAAUCUAUUAAGAUGGAGUCUUAAUACGAAAGAGGGAACCGCGUGAACUGAAACAUCUAAGUAACGCGAGGAAAAGAAAGUAAAAACGAUACCCAAAGUAGCGGCGAGCGAACUGGGUCAAGCCUAAACCUUAAAUAUGUCAAGGAUACAGCCGUUGUAUUUAAGGGGUAGAGGGACAAAGUAGUGAAGAACUGUAAGAUAUUCAAUAUAGUGUAUUGAUGAAUUAGAAUUGUAUGGAAAGAUAAACCGUAGAAGGUGAGAGUCCUGUAUAAGUAAAUCCUUACACAUAUAACUUUGCUCCCAAGUAACAUGGAACACGAGGAAUUCUGUGUGAAUCAGUGAGGACCAAAUCUCAUAAGGCUAAAUACUCUUACUAACCGAUAGCGCAUAGUACCGUGAGGGAAAGGUGAAAAGAACCCCUGGAGGGGAGUGAAAUAGAACCUGAAAUUGUGUGCUUACAAGCGGUCAGAGCCCAUUUGGGUGAUGGCGUGCCUUUUGGAGAAUGAUCCUGCGAGUUACGUUAAACGGCGAGGUUAAGUAUAACGGAGCCGAAGGGAAACCAAGUCUUAAUAGGGCGAUUUAGUCGUUUGGCGUAGACGCGAAACCUGGUGAUCUAAACCUGUCCAGGAUGAAGCUGUGGUAAGACACAGUGGAGGUCCUAACCCACCGCCGUUGAAAAGUUGGGGGAUGAGGUAGGUUUAGGGGUGAAAAGCCAAUCGAACCAGGAGAUAGCUCGUUCUCUCCGAAAUGCAUCUAGGUGCAGCCUUGAGUGUUCAAUUAUGGGGGUAGAGCACUGAAUGAUCUAGGGGGCAUAUUGCUUACUGAAAUCAAUCAAACUCCGAAUACCAUAAUUUAUAGCUCAGGAGUGAGACUAUGGGAGUUAACUUCCAUUGUCAAAAGGGAAACAACCCAGACCACCAGCUAAGGUCCCUAAUUAUAACUAAGUGGGAAAGGAGGUGGAGAUUCACAAACAACUAGGAGGUUGGCUUAGAAGCAGCCAUACCUUUAAAGAGUGCGUAAUAGCUCACUAGUCGAGAGUCUCUGCGCCGACAAUGUAACGGGGCUAAGUUAUAAACCGAAGCUGUGGAAUCCUUUUGGAUUGGUAGGAGAGCGUUCUGUAGGCCGUUGAAGAAGAAGGGUAACCGACUUUGGAGGUAUCAGAAGUGAGAAUGCAGGAAUAAGUAGCGAGAAAGGGGGCGAGAAUCCCCCUCGCCGGAAGACCAAGGUUUUCAGGGUAAAGCUUGUCUUCCCUGAGUAAGCCGGGACCUAAGCCCAGGCUAUAAUGCGUAGGCGAAUGGAAAACAGAUUAAUAUUUCUGUGCCAGUCAUGUAUUGUGAUGGAGGGACGCAGAAGGGUAUGCGCGCGGACGAACGGAAGUGUCCGUAGAAGUAUGUAGGGUGACUUAGUAGGUAAAUCCAUUAAGUUAAAUCUGAGGUAUGAUAUACAGUCGUAAGAUGAAUGCGCAAAUCCCACGCUGCCAAGAAAAGCUUCUAACGUUAAUAUAUGACUGCCCGUACUGUAAACCGACACAGGUGGUCAGGAUGAGAAAUCUAAGGCGGACAGGCUAACUCUCGUUAAGGAACUCUGCAAAAUAACCUCGUAACUUCGGGAGAAGAGGAGCCCUUGUGUGUGAGUAUACAUGCGAUACAAAGCGCACGAGGGUCGCAGUGAAGAGGCUCAAGCAACUGUUUAACAAAAACACAGGUCUAUGCUAAGCUGUAAGGCGAUGUAUAUGGGCUGACACCUGCCCAGUGCUGGAAGGUUAAGAGGAGGAGUGAGAGCUCCGAAUUGAAGCCCCAGUGAACGGCGGCCGUAACUAUAACGGUCCUAAGGUAGCGAAAUUCCUUGUCGGGUAA
rnacentral:rRNA from 1 species